rnacentral:rRNA from 1 species
GAUCAUGGCUCAGAUUGAACGCUGGCGGCAGGCCUAACACAUGCAAGUCGAGCGGAUGAAGAGAGCUUGCUCUCUGAUUCAGCGGCGGACGGGUGAGUAAUGCCUAGGAAUCUGCCUGAUAGUGGGGACAACGUUUCGAAAGGAACGCUAAUACCGCAUACGUCCUACGGGAGAAAGCAGGGGACCUUCGGGCCUUGCGCUAUCAGAUGAGCCGUAGGUCGGAUUAGCUUAGG